UACGAGGGGGCAAAUGUUGUUCGGAAUCACUGGGCGUAAAGGGAGCGUAGGCGGGUUCUUAAGUAAGGUGUUUAAUCCCGGGGCCCAACCCCGGACCGGCACUUUAAACUGGGAAUCUUGAAUAGUGGAGAGGUCAGUGGAAUUGGGGGUGUAGCGGUGGAAUGCGUAGAGAUCCCCAAGAACACCAGUUGCGAAGGCGGCUGACUGGACACAUAUUGACGCUGAGGCUCGAAAGCAUGGGGAGCAAA
rnacentral:rRNA from 1 species